UACGUAGGGUGCGAGCGUUAAUCGGAAUUACUGGGCGUAAAGUGUGCGCAGGCGGCCGCGCAAGUCGAGUGUGAAAGCCCCGGGCUUAACUUGGGAAUUGCGCUCGAAACUACGUGGCUGGAGUGUGGCAGAGGAGACUGGAAUUCCUGGUGUAGCAGUGAAAUGCGUAGAUAUCAGGAGGAAUACCGAUGGCGAAGGCAGGUCUCUGGGCUGACACUGACGCUCAUGCACGAAAGCGUGGGGAGCAAACAGG
rnacentral:rRNA from 1 species